rnacentral:rRNA from 1 species
UACGGGAGGCAGCAGUGGGGAAUAUUGCACAAUGGGCGCAAGCCUGAUGCAGCCAUGCCGCGUGUAUGAAGAAGGCCUUCGGGUUGUAAAGUACUUUCAGUCGUGAGGAAGACGGCGUCGUUAAUAGCGGCAUCGUUUGACGUUAGCGACAGAAGAAGCACCGGCUAACUCCGUGCCAGCAGCCGCGGUAAUACGGAGGGUGCGAGCGUUAAUCGGAAUUACUGGGC